CAGUCGCCGCGGGAAUACAGAGGGUGCGAGCGUUAAUCGGAUUUACUGGGCGUAAAGCGUGCGUAGGCGGCUUUUUAAGUCGGAUGUGAAAUCCCUGAGCUUAACUUAGGAAUUGCAUUCGAUACUGGGAAGCUAGAGUAUGGGAGAGGAUGGUAGAAUUCCAGGUGUAGCGGUGAAAUGCGUAGAGAUCUGGAGGAAUACCGAUGGCGAAGGCAGCCAUCUGGCCUAAUACUGACGCUGAGGUACGAAAGCAUGGGGAGCAAACAGGAUUAGAUACCCGAGUAGUCCCUGUCUCUUAUAC
rnacentral:rRNA from 1 species